rnacentral:rRNA from 1 species
ACUCCGAGAUUCCUCAGUACGGCGAGUGAAGCGGUAACAGCUCAAAUUUGAAAUCUGGGUCUUUUAGGCUCCGAGUUGUAAUUUGUAGAAGAUGCUUCGGGUGCGGCUCCGGUCUAAGUUCCUUGGAACAGGACGUCAUAGAGGGUGAGAAUCCCGUAUGUGAUCGGCCGCUUGCGCCCAUGUGAAGCUCUUUCGACGAGUCGAGUUGUUUGGGAAUGCAGCUCAAAAUGGGUGGUAAAUUUCAUCUAAAGCUAAAUAUUGGCCAGAGACCGAUAGCGCACAAGUAGAGUGAUCGAAAGAUGAAAAGCACUUUGGAAAGAGAGUUAAACAGUACGUGAAAUUGUUGAAAGGGAAGCGCUUGCAACCAGACUUGCGCGGGGUUGAUCAUCUAGGGUUCUCCCUAGUGCACUCGACCCCGCUCAGGCCAGCAUCGGUUUCGGUGGUUGGAGAAAGGCCUUGGGAAUGUAGCUUCUUUCGGGGAGUGUUAUAGCCCUCGGUGCAAUGCAGCCUACCGGGACCGAGGACCGCGCUUCGGCUAGGAUGCUGGCGUAAUGGUUGUAAGCGACCCGUCUUGAAACACGGACCAAGGAGUCUAACAUCUAUGCGAGUGUUUGGGUGUCAAACCCAUACGCGGAAUGAAAGUGAACGGAGGUGAGAACCCUUAAGGGUGCAUCAUCGACCGAUCCUGAUGUCUUCGGAUGGAUUUGAGUAAGAGCAUAGCUGUUGGGACCCGAAAGAUGGUGAACUAUGCCUGAAUAGGGUGAAGCCAGAGGAAACUCUGGUGGAGGCUCGCAGCGGUUCUGACGUGCAAAUCGAUCGUCAAAUUUGGGUAUAGGGGCGAAAGACUAAUCGAACCAUUCCACAAGCUAGGUGGUUAAGAGGUGGCUGAAAGUGCCUACCUAGUCCUUAAGCCAAGGGCGACACUGUCCAAUUGUUCGGGGACGUCCUGUUGAUUGCUAAGCUACCGCAGCCUGCUCGAAAGGGGGGUGCGCACCGGGGUAAUGACCUAGGGGAUGGUAAUAACGCUUAGAUAGGGAUAAUCCGCAGCCAAGUCCUAAGGGCCCAACGCCUAUGGAUGCAGUUCACAGACUAAAUGGCAGUGGGUCUAGCGUGCGAGAGCGUGCUAGGCUUAAGUUAUAGUCGAUCCGCUGGGAGACCGGUUGGGUGGGAGGAAGAGGAUAGGGGUGGCUUUGUGCCCUAUCCUCCCGAGCCCGCCUAGGAGAUCCGCAGGUCUCUGGGGUGCUGGGCAGCGUAGGCUGCCCGCACGACAAUGCUAGUAGCUGGUUCCUGCCGAAGUUUCCCUCAGGAUAGCAGUGUUGAAUUCAGUUUUAUGAGGUAAAGCGAAUGAUUAGAGGCCUUGGGGUUGAAACAACCUUAACCUAUUCUCAAACUUUAAAUAUGUAAGAAGUCCUUGUUACUUAAUUGAACGUGGACAUUCGAAUGUACCAACACUAGUGGGCCAUUUUUGGUAAGCAGAACUGGCGAUGCGGGAUGAACCGAACGUGAAGUUAAGGUGCCGGAAUAUACGCUCAUCAGACACCACAAAAGGUGUUAGUUCAUCUAGACAGCAGGACGGUGGCCAUGGAAGUCGGAAUCCGCUAAGGAAUGUGUAACAACUCACCUGCCGAAUGAACUAGCCCUGAAAAUGGAUGGCGCUUAAGCGUAUUACCCAUACUUCACCGCCAGGGUAGAAACGAUGCCCUGGCGAGUAGGCAGGC